rnacentral:lncRNA from 1 species
AUGGAAAUUGGAGUCAGGGCUGAGAUACCAGCAGGGGCCAGGGGCACAGGAGCUGGAAACUUGGAGGUGUUGAAGAUGCCAACUCAAGAUCUGGGCAUGGAACAUGACAGCAUUUUAAAGAGGUCCUCUGCCAUCCCCGAUUUCUUCAGUGACGAUGGCGAUUUGAACACCACCGGAAUGACAGAGCAAGACACCGUUCCUGAAAGGAUGCAAGUAUUUCAGGACUCAGGUCUGGAGGACACUGCAGUGAAGGACUCCAAGAGUCCCAACAGUUCAUUUGGGACUUUGGGAUCUGUUCGCACUUUGCCGUUUCCUGCUGGAUCGCAGGAUACUAUGGAAAACCAAGGGCCGGAGCAGGAGCUCCUAGCUUCAGACACAGAUAAGCAGGAAAGCGCAGAGGAAGAGCACGAUCAGAGAUCUCCAGAUCCCGAUAAGCCGAAGCCGCUCCCAAAUCCUGAUAGUUUCCUCGAGGCGAGGGUGGAAGCUCCAAAGGAAGCCAAGCCUGAACGUCCUGGAAAGAAAUCCGGAGGGAAAGAAAAAUCGGAGAAGGCGAGAAGGAAGAAAGGGAAGAGGGGUCAAUCAGAAAACUCUUCGCAACUCUGGGAAAAAAUGGCUCAAUACUUGGUCUCUGUCCUGCUGCCCAUCUCUCUGAAGAUCGCGAAGACCUGCUGGAAAGGAAGCACCUCAAAAUCGAGGGGCAAGGUCCUGAAACGACCAGGGAGGCCACAGACAGGAAAAGCCAGUUGUCUUAUCACAUGCAUAUUUCUCUUAUCAUUGCUGAGAACCGCUUGCUGUGGUGUACUGGCUUGCCCUGGAGACGUUGUGAAACUACAUUUCAACCUCACUGGUAAUUUAAAAGGACAUGUUUCGCUUAUUAACAGCACUUCCAACAUCUACUUUUACUACACUCAACAUCAGCCCAAUACGUGUCGCCCAGAGGUGUUAGAAAAAUUUGAACCAUGCUUGUCCAAGGAUGGCGAAACUCUCUACCUGACCAGGAUCGCAUCAAAGUCCACUGCAAUCAAAUACACCCUGGAGUAUGAGACUGAUGAAGGAGCUUCUGUAACCAUGUCUCUCUCUCUGUCCUUGAAAAGUAAGUUCAAUGUAGUGAAAUCUGUGCAAAAAGGUGAAAGUUGUAGCUAGUUAAAUACAAAAGUAUGAGAACUGUACUUUGUUAAAGACGAAUAUUUUGCAUAAUUAACUUGGCAAAUAUACUCAACUAACAAAUUAGCUUUCAGCAAUUGUACUCUCAAGUGCAUACUACAUAUGGUCAUCAUCAUCAUACACCACACUAUUGUUUAAUUUAUUUGAAUGUAAUAAACUUUUAAUUACGUCUUAACUCAAGGUCCAGUUCAAUAAGCACAAACUUGUGAGAACCUUAUGAUAUAGGCAACUAAAUUAUUUUCUUUGAAUUAAUUGUAUAUUGUUAGCAUGCUCAAAGGGGUUGGACAGCCAGUUGGCCUUGGACCCCUAGAGGUUUUUUGGUUCCUCUCCUCCAUGGUCUUCUGGUCUUUUCUGUUCUGUGCUCACAACAUGCGUGGUCACCUGCAUUGCUAAGCGCCUUGGGGGGACCUUGCUGUGAAAGGCGCUAUAUAAAAAUACAUUGAAUUGAAUUAAGAUUCUAUUGCACACAGGCAAUAUAAUCUAGCCCUAGUCUGUGGGCAGACAAGCAAAAUUCUCAUAGCCAGGCACCACAAGUCAGAAUCGGAUCCAGCUGUGCUAACUGCCACUCUGCCACACUGCGCACAGAUGAUUGAACAUUUGUCCAGAGCUUUUUGUUUUAAAAAUAUUUUUAGAAUCAUGUUGUCUGACUUCAUUAGGAGGAGCUGGGGUUGCCAACAGCAUCUGUUGUGGUGCAUAAGGAUGUUGCUGUUAUUAUUUAGAAAGGCAGAAACCCGAGAAGUUUAAAAUGAGUUAUACUGUAGUGGCUGGUGUUCAGAAUUUUUUGUUUGUUUCAUUUUAGAUUGUUCCGAUGACAAGCAUCCCACACCCAGUAAGUGUUUUUUUUUUUCAGCUUCCUCACCUGUUCCAUUUAUAGACAGGAGAUAUUCUCUUGUGGUUUAAAGCAGCAGAGAUGAGAGAAAAAUAAAUAUUUUAUUCCACUCAGUCCAGGGAGAACCGAGAAUUACUGGAAUAGUGUGCAGCAAUUCCAGCUUAGCCUGAUAAUUCUUCCUGAAUUGGGGAAAAAAAAACCUGGUUUGUAGAUCUUGUACUGCCAAGUCUAGAUCUUCCUGUAUUUUACCCAUAUUGGAAAAUAGUGUCUCACCUCAUAUGUGGCUCCAUAGCUGUACUGUCUACAGAGCUGAAAGUGCAGAUUACAAUUCAAUUUGGGACAGUUUAAAGAAAUAAAGAUAAUUAAACAGUCUACACAGACCUCAGCAGUUAUGUUGGGGGGGGGGUUGUUUGAGUGGCCUGCAAACUCUGAUUGCCAAUGAACAGCAGAUCAAGUGAGAUCCCCUUACUGGUUUUCUUCUUUUCCACACAGCGCCACCUACCUCUACUCCAUCUCCCCUUAAGACUGACUGUAAGUUCUACAAUUAACUGCUUUAACAAAAGAUUGUAACCAAUGUGGUUUCCUUUGCACUAUUACUGACUUUGUCGCAUGCAAACUUUUAUUCUCUCAAUGACUCAAAAGUGUGAUGUGUGUUAUAUCGAUUUGGCUGUGAGCAGCCCAUUCAUAAGAACUGCUUCAUGUGUCAUCUCUUUCAUAACUCUCACUUGGGGACUUUUGAGGGAUUUAUUCUGUAAAUCUAAGGUACAUUUGUGCUUUUACUGCUUAAGAACAUAAGAAACGAAAGGAGUUAAUUAUUCCCAGGUUCAUAUGCAGGCAUUUCUUGGAAGAAAGUAUGGUAUUGGCUUUAACAACGUUCUCAUUGAUAGUAGAUAUAUUAAUAAGAAAUCUUGUUGCUUUUUGUUCUCAUCUAGGGGCAGCUACACCUGUCUUCAUUACAGUGGCUUUCGUCUUUCUUGGAUCCUUGAUUGUGGGGCUGAUUUUAAGACACCGCUGUAAGAAGUAAGUGUGACUGAAUCGGUUUUCUGAUUGUGUUGAUAUUGUAUGGGAUUCUGCUAUUUCAGAAGCCAGACCAGGUGUAGUGCAAGUGCUCACAUUACUCCUGUCCUGGAGUCCUUACACUGGCUUCCUCUCAGGUUUCGUGUUGACUUCGACGGCUCGACAUGGCUUGGCAACAUGAGCUAUUUGACUUACUAUCAUUCCACUGUCCACCUCGAAACCUUCAUUCGUCUGAUUCUGGUCUUGUGUCUGUCCCCCAAGCUAUCUUACACUCUAUUAUUCAUAAUAAUUUAUUAAGAAUUUACAUUAUGUAGUAUACCGAGGCAUAUGAGAAGACUGGACUUACACAUCAAGCAUCCAUCCUGGUCUGUCGAUUCAGAUUUGUGAUCAGGGUAUGGGGAAUGUGGAAAAUGUCCCAUCAAGUCUGAAACAAAUCAAGAAAUCCAGCAUCACCUGAAGUGUGAGGAACUUCAAUGUGCAAUUAAGGCUAGAAUAAAUCGUUCGAUACUGCCCUCUAGUGUCUAGCCUGGAGAAAUAACAGGUGAUUUCAGAGGACGGUUGAAGGAAACAAGUUUUUUUUUUUUAUUUUGACUCAGAACAGGUAAGGUAUAUGGAUUUUGUCAGUCAGCUGUAGUCUAUUUCAUGUGAGAGAGCUGAAAGUCCACAUUGUGGUUUGAAAGACAGAAAUUAAAUUUCCUGUUGACAGAAAGCAAUAAAGAACUUCCCUGGUGACAGAAAAGAUAUCGUAAUUCCAGAAUGGAAGUUGAAAACUGAUUAGGUAGACAAUUAUGGCUAACGUGCAGGAGGAUACAGUACAAUCGUGCUAAGCCAGUGUGCAUGGUGAUGAACAGAAUUGUGCAGUGUGUUUUGGGGUUCUUAACCUCAUUCUCUUUUGAUCUUUCUAGGAAGAAAAUGUCAGGUGGAUGCAACACAGUGUUGUGUUAUUCACACAAUAGUGCCUCACAAGAGGAAACCACACAGGAUGGGUAAUUAAUCUUCUGUCUUCACCUAUUCACAUUAAUUUAAACAAAACAUGUUUCCAGAAGCCUAGUAUGCAGAAAAGUGAAAUUUAAGAGAAAAUUACAUUUUGACUUGAAGGAAAACAUAACACUACACUUGACAGAUACACACAGCUCUUUUAUAGUUGAAAGGAUAAGAAGAACUGUAAGGAUUUGUUAAUCUCCUAUUAGCUCGCUAUACAAUAAGUGCUCUCAGACAUUCAGUCAUAAAGCUUGAGCACGUGAAUUUUCUCAGUGCUUGUGUGCAUUUGCCUGAACUUCCAUGAGAUCAGGUUCAUGCAGAUUUUUUUUGUCACUCUAUGUGCUAAGCCUGAAAAAUAUUUGAUUGGGUUUUCUUGCAUUCUGUUGUUAUAAUUAGUUUCAAAAUAAUGCAGUGUAUAGAUCCAUGACUAAGGCUAGGAAAAAUGAAAAAAUGCACUUUAGCAUGGAAAUGUAGAUUAAAACUUGCAUAGCAUUACAAAAAAACAGCUUGACUAUGAAACACAUACCCAACCUUAUGGCUCAUCUGAUUUAUCCCGUACUACCUUACAUCAUGAAUACUCAUGCCAUUCAUCCUUCCUGCAGGCAAGCGAUGAAUCGGAUGUUAAACUGAAAUCCGACUGAUUCUUCAGCAGUGGAUGCUGUAACUCGGACAACAGGAAGCCAGUCUUUGGAAUGAGCUGUAGCUCCAGGUUUGCCUGGCUAGGCCUGGCCUCCACCAUGCUGUUCCUGAAUUGGUUAAAUGAUGAAUUAUACUGAAUUCUAAUAUUAGUAAGGACUGUAAAAUAAAUACCAGUCUGCUUUUCACACCUCCUUUUGAGCCUUGGUUCCUCGCAAGGUUUCUUCUUCCUGUAAUGUGAGGGAGUUUUUCCUGGCCACUGUCGCCUUCGGCUUGCUCACUGGGAGCUCAGGCCCAGGAGUCUGUGAAGCGCUUUUUACAAUGUCACAAGGCAGUGUGGUGGCAUGGCUGCCUCACUGUGUGAGUGCACUGUUUGUAAUUCCAGGGCUUUACAAACAGUGGAGCAUGUACUGUAGGUUUUCUCCUGGUGCUCUGGUCCAGAGACAUACUGGGAAGUGAAUUGGCUUCUGCCCUCCCAUGAACUGGUCCCCCAUCCAGGGUAUACACUUCCUUAUGCCCGGACACUGGAAUAUCUCCCAACUCUUCUUGAGAAAUGCCUGGCCAUCAUUAAUGAUCGCUGAGAGUCAGGACCUCGGUUUAACAUCUCAUCCCAAAGAUGGUGCACACUACAGUAGAGUGUCCCUGCCAUUAUACUGGGGCAUUAGGCACUGGUCCCACUAACACCACUUCCAACAGCAACCAUAGCUUCCCAGGAGGUCACCCACUGACCAGCCUCAACCCUGCUGAGCUUCAGUGGGUGGCCAGCUGAGUGCUGCAGGGUGAUACAGCUGCUGGCUGUAACCCCGUCUGCUUGUGCUUUGUUAUCUAUAAGCAAAUCAUAUAAAUAAUUACGAGCUUCUGCUUAUUAAAUGUAUAUCUGCUUCAUAGUGGUGUAUCGUUUUCCUUAGAUCCGUUACUUCGCUUUUCCAAGGGAAUUUAGUCGAUUGUGUACACUCAACGCGAUAGUUUGUUUUACAUAUCUUAUGCGUUUUAUUCUGCUGUUAUUGUUCUCUUUCCUAGUUGUUGAUACUACUGAAACUGAAAAUAAAAAACUUUGUUUUUCAACAUUUCUCAUGGUCGCUCUUUUGUACUUGACUUUCCCAGACAGUUGCAGGAAAAAAAAAAACGUAUUCGGCGUUGUCACAACAGAUCCAGUCUCAACUAGACGGUGGUUUAGGAAAUUACCUGAACAUGUUGCAAUAUCUUCAGUUCAGCGGCCUGAACUAAAAUUCCAUGAUAAACUUUUUCUAGUAUCA